rnacentral:rRNA from 1 species
AUUGAACGCUGGCGGCAUGCCUUACACAUGCAAGUCGAACGGCAGCACGGGAGCAAUCCUGGUGGCGAGUGGCGAACGGGUGAGUAAUAUAUCGGAACGUGCCCAGUCGUGGGGGAUAACGCAGCGAAAGCUGUGCUAAUACCGCAUACGAUCUACGGAUGAAAGCGGGGGAUCGCAAGACCUCGCGCGAUUGGAGCGGCCGAUAUCAGAUUAGCUAGUUGGUGAGGUAAAGGCUCACCAAGGCGACGAUCUGUAGCUGGUCUGAGAGGACGACCAGCCACACUGGAACUGGGACACGGUCCAGACUCCUACUGGAGGCAGCAGUGGGGAAUUUUGGACAAUGGGCGCAAGCCUGAUCCAGCAAUGCCGCGUGCAGGAUGAAGGCCUUCGGGUUGUAAACUGCUUUUGUACGGAACGAAACGGUGAACUCUAAUACAGUUUGCUAAUGACGGUACCGUAAGAAUAAGCACCGGCUAACUACGUGCCAGCCGCCGCCGUAA